rnacentral:lncRNA from 13 species
CCUGCCGCUUCUGCCGAGGCAAGGGCGCCUGCCGCUUCUGCCGAGGCAAGGGCGCCUGCCGCUUCUGCCGAGGCAAGGGCGCCUGCCGCUUCUGCCGAGGCAAGGGCGCCUGCCGCUUCUGCCGAGGCAAGGGCGCCUGCCGCUUCUGCCGAGGCAAGGGCGCCUGCCGCUUCUGCCGAGGCAUUUGAACCAGAUUCCGCACUUGAGGUACCGUGGCCGGUUGCUUCCGCUGCCGAGGCAAAGUGGCCGGUUGCUUCACCGAAGGUAUUUAGGCCAGUCAUGGCGCUUGAUGAAGCACUGUGGCAAAUUGAUUCACCUAAGGUAUUUGGGCCAGCUGCCACACUUGUCGAGGCAUUAUGGGUGGCGCUUGCGUGGCACUGUGGCCAGUUGCUUCACCUGAGGCACUUGGGCCAGUCGUGGCGCUUGAUGAAGCAUUGUGGCCAGUUGCUUCAGCUAAGGUAUGAGGCACGGGAGUCGGCUCCUUCACCCAAGGUAUUUGGGCCAGUCGUGACGCUUGAUGAGGCAUUGUGGUUAGCCGCUUCUGAGGCAUUAUGGGUGGCCGUUUGCAUGGCACUGUGUCCAGUUGCUUCCGCUGCCGAGGCACCGUGGCCAGUUGCUUACGAGAGCCGGUUGCUUCACCUAAGGUAUUUGGGCCAAUCGUGGCACUUGAAGGAUUGUGGCAAGUUGCUUCACCUAAGCUAUUUGAGCCAAUUGCCACACUUGCCGAGGCAUUAUGGGUGGCUGCUUCCGCUGCAUUAUGGGUGGUCAAGUGCACCUUUUAAUUCAUUGGCAUUCUCUCAACCAGCUUUACCUGGAAUGCUUUUCCAACAGUCUUGAAGAAGUUCCCACAUUUGCUGAGCAAUUGUUGGCUUCUUUUCCUUCACUCCAUGGUCCAACUCAUG